rnacentral:rRNA from 1 species
ACGGAGGGUGCAAGCGUUAUCCGGAUUCACUGGGUUUAAAGGGUGCGUAGGCGGGUAAGUAAGUCAGUGGUGAAAUCUCCGGGCUUAACUCGGAAACUGCCGUUGAUACUGUUUAUCUUGAAUAUCAUGGAGGUAAGCGGAAUAUGUCAUGUAGCGGUGAAAUGCUUAGAUAUGACAUAGAACACCGAUAGCGAAGGCAGCUUACUACAUGUUAAUUGACGCUGAGGCACGAAAGCGUGGGGAGCAAACAGGA